UGAUAUCUAAUUAUAAAGCUGGUUUUAACCCUAUAGGAAUAAUCUCUGUUAUUAAAGACUUUAGAUUAUAUAGACAUUGUUUCUAAUUGUGUGAAUGUAAAGCAUGCAAAAUUUAUUUACAGCAGAGCAGAUCCUAUAUGCAUGUUAUCCAGCAGACCAUAUUUGAACAAAAAUAAACCCUAUAUGCAUGUUAUCUACCCAAUUUACCCACAAUAUACAACUACCUAUCCUUUCCACUAAUCACCCCGUUAUGUUUACAAAUUAUUACAGACCAAAUGAUCGAAUUAUAAAAUAAGUAAAGAAAUAAGAAAUUACAACCAAAUAAAGCCUGAUCUUGACUUCCUCUUUGAGUUAUGUAAUGAACCACUUCCAUGCCAAUAUUUCAAAGCCUUUCUCAUACCCGAUUGAGUUAUACACCCAAAUUUUUAUAACCCAAACAGAAUUAGUACAGUGUGAAAAGGCCAGCUCUUAUGUGUCCAAGUUCAGAGGGAGCUCAAGGGUCCCAAGGAAAGGCUCACACCAGACGGGCAGAACAUAGAUUCUAAGAAUAUAGUGAAGUGCAUAACACAUGUUGAAAGAGAUUUAUUUAAACAGUUGGACUGAUAGUACAUUUUGAAAUAAAUUAGUGACAAAGGUGAUUGAAUCAGUUUGUUGUAGUAAAACUCAAAACUACAAAAAAUCAGUAGUCAUUCGAAG
rnacentral:lncRNA from 1 species